GGAGAGCUGGCAGAGUGGUCAAUCGCAACAGUCUUGAAAACUGUGACUUUCGGGUCCCGUGGGUUCGAAUCCCUCGCUCUCCG
rnacentral:tRNA from 1 species